CUUCACACUUCGGAAGCCACCUAAAUCUCCAGCCCUCUCUGCCUCCUCUCUCCUCUAUGUAAUCUACUUUUCACAUCUCUGAACUUAUUUAUGUUGUUCUUUCCGCCUGGAAUUCUCUGUGUCACCUUUCUAAGCCUGGAAAAGUUCUGUUAAUCCACUUCCCCAGAGGGAUAAUGCAAAGCUCCAAAUUUCCAAAGAAGCAUCUAAUGAAGUGAAAUUAUUUGAGUGAGUCACACAUCCACAGUGCUAUUCAACUCUGGAUUUAUUGGCUAAGAGAUCAUUUUAAACUUUCUCAAAAAAGACCAAUCUCCUUCAAACUGAAAACUUUAGGGGAAAAUCUCCAGGUGCUCUUUUUCAUCCUCUUCUCUACAACGAGUUAUGUCUGCCAAAGGACUAGGAGAAGACCAGAGGGUGAGCCCUGAGCCACAAGAAUGCAUCUGCUGAGACAUGUAACUGGGGAGAAAGAGAAGAAGGAUUUCUAGCUUCUGAGGAAGGAGGUCCUUCAGUCCUGAAAUGACAUCUGGGGAGCAUGUCACAGCAUCCACUAGAGUCCACUGCUUGUGCUGCUUGGAUCCACUUCUUCAUGGAGAAGUUCCUCUACCAAAAUUAUCUUGAAUGAUUCAACCGCUUCAAAUCCUUCAACAGUUCCCAAUCACUUACAGAUGGAAGUCCAAACCCCCCUGGCGUGAUUUUCAAGGUCUCCUCUUUUUAAAAAACGGAAUCUUUGGCAGAUCAAAGGUGGAACUAGAACCUAAGUCAACUGACUCCUGUUCUAAUAAUCCCUGAACAAAUAGCUAUAGUAAAUGUAGUAAGUUCUACAAGAAAGAUUAAGAUAGAGCACAGGGGUGGAUGGGGAGGCCCAUUUGUCAUAUGAUGCUUGCAUCUCCUCAGCCAUUCAUUUCCAGGGAUUGGAAUGCCUCCUAAAAGAUUAACCAUAGUCAUCUCGGGGUGGCAGAGUUGCAGGUGGUUUUUCAGAAUUUUGUUAUCAUUUUGAGUAUUUUUCAACAGCAAACAUUUUUCAUCUGCGUAAUAAAAGCAAAAUGAUAAUGACAG
rnacentral:lncRNA from 1 species